rnacentral:lncRNA from 1 species
GUGAAUUUCCACUGUUGUGAUAAAGAAGGACUGCAGAUCUCAACAGUGAGACCACCAUUUUUGGCAUUUCGGCUGUCUAGACAGAGGUUGCUGCCAACGUGCCUCAGUUUAGAGUUGCUUUCAAUUUGUUCCCAUUUCUGUCUGCUGUCAUUUUCCCUGCAGCCCUGAAGUUUUAUUAGUGAACCAGGUGCUCUGUCCACAACAGUAAGGCACAAAUCCAUGUGUUUUACUGACUUGUCCUUUGUUAGGGCCCAUUCCUGAUUUCCUCCGGCAUUAUGACAUUCA